rnacentral:rRNA from 1 species
GGAAAAGAAACUAACAAGGAUUCCCCUAGUAGCGGCGAGCGAAGCGGGAAGAGCUCAAAUUUGUAAUCUGGCGUGCUCAGUGCGUCCGAGUUGUAAUCUAUAGAAACGUUUUCCGUGCCGGACCGUGUCCAAGUCCCUUGGAACAGGGUAUCAAAGAGGGUGACAAUCCCGUACUUGACACGACGACCGGUGCUCUGUGAUACGUUUUCUACGAGUCGAGUUGUUUGGGAAUGCAGCUCAAAAUGGGUGGUAAAUUCCAUCUAAAGCUAAAUAUAGGCGAGAGACCGAUAGCGAACAAGUACCGUGAGGGAAAGAUGAAAAGCACUUUGGAAAGAGAGUUAAACAGUAUGUGAAAUUGUUGAAAGGGAAACGAUUGAAGUCAGUCAUGUUCAUUGGAUUCAGCUGGUUCUGCCAGUGUAUUUCCUUUGAACGGGUCAACAUCAGUUUGAGCCGGCGGAUAAUGGCAGAGGGAAUGUGGCACCUCCGGGUGUGUUAUAGCCCUUUGUCGCAUACGUCGGCCCAGACUGAGGAAUGCAGCUCGCCUUUAUGGCCGGGGUUCGCCCACGUACGAGC